GGGCUAAUAACUUAGUUGGUUAGAGCGCGCGCUUGAUAAGCGUGAGGUCGGAGGUUCAAAUCCUCCCUGGCCCA
rnacentral:tRNA from 1 species